CAACAAAUCGAGGGUGAACGAGU
rnacentral:siRNA from 1 species